GACGAACGCUGGCGGCGUGCUUAACACAUGCAAGUCGAACGGUGAGGCUCCAGCUUGCUGGCGUGGAUCAGUGGCGAACGGGUGAGUAACACGUGAGGAACCUGCCCCAGACUCUGGAAUAAGCGCUGGAAACGGCGGCUAAUACUGGAUACGAAACUUGCCCGCAUGGGCUUGGAUUGGAAAGUAUUGCGGUUUGGGAUGGUCUCGCGGCCUAUCAGCUUGAUGGUGAGGUAAUGGAUCACCAAGGCGACGACGGGUAGCCGGACUGAGAGGGCGACCGGCCACAGUGGCACUGAGACACGGCCAGGACGGCUUCGGGAGGAAUGAGUGGGGAACAGUCGACACAGCGCGACAGCCUGAUGCAGCGACGCCGCGUGGGGGAUGACGGCCUUCGGGUUGUAAACCUCUUGCAGCAGGGAAGAAGCGAAAGUGACGGAACCUGCAGAAGAAGCACCGGUAAACUACGG
rnacentral:rRNA from 1 species